rnacentral:rRNA from 1 species
UACAGAGGGUGCGAGCGUUAAUCGGAAUUACUGGGCGUAAAGCGCACGUAGGCGGAUUUGUUAGUCAGGGGUGAAAUCCCGGGGCUCAACCUGGGAAUGGCAUUGGAUACUGGCGAGCUAGAGUGCGGUAGAGGGUAGUGGAAUUCCCGGUGUAGCAGUGAAAUGCGUAGAGAUCGGGAGGAACAUCUGUGGCGAAGGCGACUACCUGGACCAGCACUGACACUGAGGCACGAAAGCGUGGGGAGCAAACAGG